UACGUAGGGUGCAAGCGUUGUCCGGAAUUAUUGGCGUAAAGGGCUCGUAGGCGGUCUGUCGCGUCAGGAGUGAAAACUCGGGCUUAACCCCGAGCCUGCUUCUGAUACGGCAGACUAGAGGUAUGCAGGGGAGAACGGAAUUCCUGGUGUAGCGGUGAAAUGCGCAGAUAUCAGGAGGAACACCGGUGGCGAAGGCGGUUCUCUGGGCAUUACCUGACGCUGAGGAGCGAAAGUGUGGGGAGCGAAACAGG
rnacentral:rRNA from 1 species